rnacentral:lncRNA from 1 species
CUGACAUCCAACUGUCAGCUCAUGCACAUGGUUUUAAAUCGUGCCUUGAGAUCUUACAAAAAGCCUGGCUUUGGCCCUGAGACUUGAUUCACUUUGCCAUCUUCUAUCUAUCGAGCACCUCUAAGGGCCGCUUCUCCCAUGGGCCUCCAUUGGCCCUGGACAGCCUGUCAGCUCUCAGCCAUGGGCCACCUCACCAGUCAGAUCCUGCAUCAGGCACUCCACAUACAAGAUCGGGAGCCCUCUUGCCUAUGACCAAGGUGUCCCUGUGCCCACGCUACAAGUGAAAGUGCUAAGCUCCACAGAGGGGGAGGACAUCGCAUUGCCGCUCAUAUCCCUAAUGACACACUGUCAACUGACAAGCCCAGAGCACCUUCCAAGCUCGCCCCAGGACUACGUCACAGCGUCAACUUCCCCCACUCCCAGUAAUACGCUCAACCAGGCCCAAGUGAAACAAUGCGCGACCUGUCCAUGGCAGGCUCUCCAACUGUGGGGUCUUCCUUGUCUACCUUUCACCUCCACUCAGGGGACAGGACUCAGUGAGGGCCUCCGCCAGGUGCUGGGUCACAGCGGCCAGAAGCACGGGCCUGGCCUCUCCCUCCAGACUUUGCAGGCUCAUGGGAAUGCCAAGUAUUAAUAUGAAGCACAUACAGGCUUACAUUUGUGAGGAGGAAAAAGAGGACAGUAAGAGAGUAUGUACAUUUACAUACAAGCACACACAGGGAAUCUUCCUCAGGGGACAGGUGCAUCCUAUUCACUAAGCAAGAAAACACUUCCUCUUCCCCUUCCUUUCAAAGGCCUUGAUCUGCAGGACAGAAGCAGGGAGAAUGAAAAGGGCAAAAAGGAAAACUAAUUUAACUGUCUUCUCUUUCUGAAAACUCGGCCUAUUAAAAGCACAAACAGUCGGCAGGGCGGUUUCAUUUCCUUGUCUUCAUUAAAUCAGGAAGCUGAGAUUCAGCAGAGAUUCUGGCCCUAGAAGUAGCUUAUCGGAAAUGACCAUGAAUUAUCACCCCAGUGUCCUCCACAUGUUUUCUGGUAAGUAGUUUCUUUACUUAACUGAGAAGGUUGUUCCCAACAGUUCUCAAAAGGUGUUCAAAUUCCCAAGCCUACCUCAUAAAACAUUUUCAUAAUUAUAGAGGUGAUAGCAACCUUGGUGAGAACAACUAUCAAGAUGAUUUUGAUGGGGUUAUUUGCUAAUUUUGCCUCUUCUGUGAAUAAAGAUACCCAGUCGGCUGACUAAUACGAACCCCAGUCCAACCCUGAAUGUGUCCACAACCCCACAGACCUUCAUACUGAUCAUUGAGAACAACCCAGACAUUCCCUGGUGGUGGUAAAGUUAACCGAAUAAAGCACUUCUCCA